rnacentral:lncRNA from 1 species
CUGACGAGGAACUGGAGCAGAUGCUGGACAGUGGGCAGAGUGAGGUGUUUGUGUCUAAUAUACUGAAGGACACACAGGUGACCCGGCAGGCCCUGAAUGAGAUCUCUGCGCGACACAGUGAGAUCCAGCAGUUGGAGCGCAGCAUCCGUGAACUCCAUGAGAUCUUCACUUUUCUAGCUACCGAGGUGGAGAUGCAGGUUAGAACGGCCCUGUCCUGACCUUCUGCGGUGAGCUGCACAGUUGUUGACCAUUCUCCUCUGCAUUCUCAGCUGGCAGUCAUGGGAUAUCACUGUCAUCCAGUGGCAGCACCAGGACCUAAGCUGGUAGUACCAGAAGCAGGCAGGGACAGGGAUGGAGACUGGCCUAGAAAAAUAGAUGAAUUCAGACAAAAGUUUACUAGCUAUGGGAAAGGCACUAGUCCUAUGAGCCCAUGGCUGCAGGCCUCUGCUGCAAAUGGAGGUUAUGUAGGACAAUGGAACAGAGAAUGGACAGCCUGACGGGGUGGGGGCCAGAAGCCUUACUCUCAACAGCUCUGGUCUGCCUUAGCUUUGUCAGUGUAGCUUUUUAUCUGCCGAUAAUGUCUUGAUUAGCCAGGCAGUAGUGGUGCAUGCCUUUGAUCCCAGCACACGAUGCAGAGGCAGGUGAAUCUCUUGAGUUCUAGGCUAACCUGGUCUACUAGUUCCAGGAUGGCCAGAGCUACAAAGAGAAACCCUGUCUUUAAGCCUCCCCUCCCCUAAAAAAAAAGAGUGUCAGCUUCUGUGGCCAGGUCACACCAAGCAGUUUGCUGCUCAGUGCCUCUGUGGCAGGUCAUGGCCAGUUUGCACCUCUCCACAGCCUGGGCCCAGGUUGGAAGCACCACCUGGCUUUUGGAAGAUUUUUGUACCAAGGCAAAUUCCCAAGUACUCUAAGGGACCAUCUCCUCGACUUGCCCAACCCACUGCCCCCCUCACCAGAAAAAGCAGCAGAGAUGGGUUCUAUAUUUUCAUUCCAAAUAAAAUGCUCUUUCUUUAAAAAAAAAAAAAAAA